rnacentral:rRNA from 1 species
GACGAACGCUGGCGGCGUGCUUAACACAUGCAAGUCGUACGGUAAGGCCCUUUCGGGGGUACACGAGUGGCGAACGGGUGAGUAACACGUGAGUAACCUGCCCACAACUUUGGGAUAACGCUAGGAAACUGGUGCUAAUACUGGAUAUGUGCUCCUGCUGCAUGGUGGGGGUUGGAAAGCUCCGGCGGUUGUGGAUGGACUCGCGGCCUAUCAGCUUGUUGGUGGGGUAGUGGCCUACCAAGGCGGCGACGGGUAGCCGGCCUGAGAGGGUGAUCGGCCACAUUGGGACUGAGAUACGGCCCAGACUCCUACGGGAGGCAGCAGUGGGGAAUAUUGCACAAUGGGCGCAAGCCUGAUGCAGCAACGCCGCGUGCGGGAUGACGGCCUUCGGGUUGUAAACCGCUUUCAGCAGGGACGAAGCUUUUUGUGACGGUACCUGCAGAAGAAGCACCGGCUAACUACGUG